GGCUCUCUGAGGCCAACUUCAGGCCUGUCCUGUUACCUUGAUUCCACAUGAGGAUUCCUGGAGCCUCCCRAGGACCUGCUGCUACCACCCUGCUGCUCUGCUUGCCUGGUUCUGGAGCUGUAUGACUGUCUCUUGCUGCAGGUGCUGUAUUUCCAGGACCAUCCACUCACCUGUGCAGUAAUUGAGUACAUAGAUUCACUGUGAGGUCUGGGACAAGGCCACUGUGUGUGAAGGUUUGGAUCCACCACUCAGCAGAAUCAAACAGGGUUUUCCUCCCCUCCGUAUGCAGUGAACCAGACAGAAGUGUAUUUGAGAAAGAUUUAUCGGCAAACCUCACGUGAGACUCUAAGAAAUACUAUUCUGCCUGUGAGGUGCAGGCCAUGUUCAUUUUAGUAAAGAUCUACUGUGAACUUUGAAAAGUGACAACAAAAGAUGUCCUGCUGCAAGAAGGGCCAUUAAGAAGGUGGAAGGAAGCUGGA